rnacentral:rRNA from 1 species
AAUUGCAGUAUACGGAGGCUUAAUACUCAGUAACUAGAGGGACCGCUGUUACUUUCUUUAAACCAGAGGAAGGUUGCGGCAAUAACAGGUCUGUGAUGCCCUUAGAUGUUCCGGGCUGCACACGUGAUACAUUGAUUACUUCAGUGAGUAUCUACGUAUUACUGCGCAGCAGUAUACGCGUGUUGUUUAUUGCUUCGGCAAUUUACUUUGCGCUAUACGCCGCCUUAACCUACUUCGAAAGUAUGUGGGUAACCAAUUAGAAGUAGUGAUUUCCCUCUUUAUAAGCACACUUAUAUGGAGCAUCAUCACCCGGCAUGCCUUGUGCAUGUUUUGUGUGUGUUGUUUGUCUACAUGUGCUUUUGUCAAUUCAUAGUGGGGACAGACCAUUGUUAAUUGUUGGUCUCGGUCUUAACUAGGAAUGCCUUGUACGAGUUUUUGGUUCAACAAACCACUCGGAAUACGUCCCUGCCCUUUGUACACACCGCCCGUCGCUCUUACCGAUGGAUUAUAUUAUGAGUUGGCAGGACCGUCCAGGAAAUGCCUGCGAAUAAU